rnacentral:rRNA from 1 species
AUUGAACGCUGGCGGCAGGCCUAACACAUGCAAGUCGAGCGGAGCGGCGGACGGGUGAGUAAUGCCUAGGAAUCUGCCUGGUAGUGGGGGAUAACGUCCGGAAACGGGCGCUAAUACCGCAUACUAUCAGAUGAGCCUAGGUCGGAUUAGCUAGUUGGGGGGGUAAAGGCCUACCAGGGCGACGAUCCGUAACUUGUCUGAGAGGAUGAUCAGUCACCCGGGAACUGAGACACGCCCCAGACUCCUACGGAAGGCAGAAUUGGGGAAUAUUGGCCAAUGGGCGAAAUCCUGAUCCAGAAAUGCCGAGUGUGUGAAGAAGGUUUUCGGAUUGUAAAGCACUUUAAGUUGGGAGGCGGUACCAACAGAAUAAGCAACGGCUAACUACGUGCCAGCAGCCGCGGUAAUAC